rnacentral:rRNA from 1 species
GUUGAACGCUGGCGGCGUGCCUAAUACAUGCAAGUCGAGCGAACGGACGAGAAGCUUGCUUCUCUGAUGUUAGCGGCGGACGGGUGAGGAACACGUGGGUAACCUACCUAUAGGGCUGGGAUGACUUCGGGAAACCGGAGCUAAUACCGGAUAAUAUUGUGAACCGCAUGGUUCAAAAGUGAAAGACGGUUUUGCUGUCACUUAUAGAUGGAACCGCGCUGCAUUAGUUAGUGGGUAAGGUAACGGCUUACCAAGGCAACGAUGCAUAGCCGACCUGAGAGGGUGACCGGCCGCACUGGAACUGAGACACGGUCCAGACUCCUACGGGAGGCAGCAGUAGGGAAUCUUGCGCAAUGGGGGAAAGCCUGACGGAGCAACGCCGCGUGAGUGAUGAAGGUCUUCGGGUUGUAAAACGCUGUUGUUCGGGAAGAAAAUAUGUGUAAGUAACUGUGGGCGUCUUGACGGUACCUGAAGAGAAAGCCACGGCUAACUACGUG